UGGGGAAAACAGUGGGAAGCGGGGACAUGUGAAGGAACCCACAAAGGCUGGAUGAGCUGGGAGGAUUGAAAGAAUCUGGGGUGGAGGAGAAAGGGUUGGGAGGAUAUAGUGGAAAUGAGAAAGAACAAUUUGUGGCUCUUCCUUUUAAAAUAACUGAAAGGAAAAGAGAAGCGAGGUGUGAAAGGUGUCAGCUCACAGCCUGCCCCCACCUCCUCCUGCUUCUCAAGGCUCGGGCUUCCUGCUCCUCUCCCCAGGGUCCUGAGCACUAAGGCAGGAGGAUGGACAGACCAAAGCUGUCACUCACCCUCUCUCGGCAUGGAAUGGAUGAUUAUCUCCUCCUGAUAUGGAAGAGGUGGGUCUACUGGGUAGAAGGAGUAAGCAAAAGCCAUGUUGGGAUGGCCAUCUCUAGCAGAGAAAGCCUGGCUAGUUUACAUGCACAAAGAAGAACUCAGCAGAGAAGCAAGUGAAAAUAGAUGCUAUUUUUGCACAUCUAAUCACAUAACUUUCUAAAACAGGUAUAUCCUCAAUUUUACAGAUGAAGAAACAAAGGCUUGGAGAAGUAUGUAACUUACCCAAGGUUAUACAACUGGUGAGUGGCAGAGCCCACCGUCUUGUCUGCCCCGAAGCCCAUGCUCUGGGGGAAGGCCAUGAGCUUCCUGCCAUGACUCAGUCCCAGCUGCUCCUCCUCUGGAAGCCACUCCUCCCAAAGUCACCCUGAAGCCUCCUCAGAGGAUUGAGAAGAAUGGGACUGAUUAGAGGAGAACAUUCUUAUGACCUUCAAGAGAAACUGAUUCAGAGAAUCCAGGAGCAAGAGGUGUUUGAGCCCCUAGUUUGUGCCUCAGUUUCUCCAUCUACAGGCUGCCUUCUGUGGAGAGGGGAUCUGCCAACUCAUGAACUGGGGUUGGGGAAACAGGGCACAAAGGAGUUUACAGCGGGGAGCAGGAAACCUAUCCAAGGGAUCUCCCCUACCAGUGUGAGGUCUGGACUGUCCCUUUUCAAUUUCCCUAACUCUCUGGGACAAAAAAGAGGGAGACAAAGUGGAACAUCCUUUUAUCCCACCUCUCCAGAGUCAGAGAUGAAGACAUAUGACCAGCA
rnacentral:lncRNA from 1 species